rnacentral:rRNA from 1 species
AUGGUAGGAGAGCGUUCUAAGGGCGUUGAAGCAUGAUCGUAAGGACAUGUGGAGCGCUUAGAAGUGAGAAUGCCGGUGUGAGUAGCGAAAGACGGGUGAGAAUCCCGUCCACCGAUUGACUAAGGUUUCCAGAGGAAGGCUCGUCCGCUCUGGGUUAGUCGGGUCCUAAGCUGAGGCCGACAGGCGUAGGCGAUGGAUAACAGGUUGAUAUUCCUGUACCACCUAUAAUCGUUUUAAUCGAUGGGGGGACGCAGUAGGAUAGGCGAAGCGUGCGAUUGGAUUGCACGUCUAAGCAGUAAGGCUGAGUAUUAGGCAAAUCCGGUACUCAUUAAGGCUGAGCUGUGAUGGGGAGAAGACAUUGUGUCUUCGAGUCGUUGAUUUCACACUGCCGAGAAAAGCCUCUAGAUAGAAAAUAGGUGCCCGUACCGCAAACCGACACAGGUAGUCAAGAUGAGAAUUCUAAGGUGAGCGAGCGAACUCUCGUU